rnacentral:rRNA from 1 species
ACGGGAGGCAGCAGUGGGGAAUAUUGGGCAAUGGGCGAAAGCCUGACCCAGCAACGCCGCGUGAAGGAAGAAGGUUUUCGGAUUGUAAACUUCUUUUAUCAGGGACGAAGGAAGUGACGGUACCUGAUGAGUAAGCCACGGCUAACUACGUGCCAGCAGCCGCGGUAAUACGUAGGUGGCAAGCGUUAUCCGGAUUUACUGGGUGUAAAGGGCGCGUAGGCGGGGAUGCAAGUCAGGUGUGAAAUCCAUGGGCUUAACCCAUGAACUGCACUUGAAACCGUAUUUCUUGAGUGUCGGAGAGGUAGACGGAAUUCCUAGUGUAGCGGUGAAAUGCGUAGAUAUUAGGAGGAACACCAGUGGCGAAGGCGGUCUACUGGACGAUAACUGACGCUGAGGCGCGAAAGCGUGGGGAGCAAACAGGAUUAGAUACCCUGGUA